rnacentral:tRNA from 1 species
GCGUGUGGCGCAGCUGGUAGCGCAGCGGACUCUUAAUCCGUAGGUCGUGGGUUCGAACCCCACCGCGCC